AAAAGUACCGGUUGCUGCUGUAGCUGUGGCCAACUGGAUUUUGAUGGAUGAUUUUGUGAGGAAAAUGCUGCUGGAAUGGGGGAUGGAGGAGUUAAUACACACUUUCAAGGGAUGUCAGAGCUAUCCUGAUGGACUCUUUUAACGGAGAGAACUUCGUGAAGGAAAUGGAUAAUGGAAUGCUUUCUGUACAAUCUCGCAUAAAGGUUGUGCGAAUCCUGGUGUCUUGGUUAAUACAAGAAUUUACAAGCAAGCCACCUACAGAUGUCAAGGUCGCUCUAGCCAAGGCGGUGGUGUCGCAAUUUCCCAAGCUAAAGGACCUUGAAGGAGUAGGUCAUGAAGCAUGGUAUUCUCCAGCUAGGGAGACUACGGGAGGCAUCUGGAUAUUUGGAAUAUCGACUUGUAAAUGUACGAAAGAGAGGACAAAAAAGUGCACCAAUUACAUCGGAGCCAAAGAAGACACCCAAAGCCACCAUGGGAGACUUAACAGAUUCAGCAGGACUUCAGGAUUCUUUAUCCAGAGGUUGCAGAUAAGCUGUUCUUAGAGUGGCCCAAAAUAGCUCCCCUGGUACUGAAGUAUGCAGACCUCCAUAACCCGACAUGGCGGGAAUCUUUGACUGUUCCACAUCUCGCAUCUUCUGACUUGACAUGUCCUGCAGCAGAAGUGGAGACCAUGGCACUUCUUGCGCUUCCUCAAAUCUCGCCUCCAGGAAUGAAGAAGGUGGGGAAGCGUAGUAUGAGAUGCAGCAGGGCAGAAUCAUCCAAAGCCUUCAUCAACAUCAGCCCAGUGGGGACAAACCUUCCAGAGUACCUAGAGAACUGCCAGCAAAAGCAACCUUUUGUGCUCGCCCUUGGAGACAUCCUCAAGCCAGAGCAAGUGUUCGUUAUUUGCGAUGGUGCUGCCUUGGAAGCAAUGUCCCUCAUUCACGGAGCGGACCUUUGCUUUAAGGCCAUCUAUAUAUUCUGUGGGUAAAUUAUCCUUGGGAGGCAGCCAACACUUAUGACUUCCUGCAGAAAGUCAUUUACAACGCCAUCUAGUACCAUUUCCCUUAGGCUUACAUCUCUAAUCUUUUAUCAUAGAGUCCUAGGCAUGGAGUGGUGCAAGAAACUUGCAAUUGAUUGCAAGUCAUUUUCAUGUACCGGCCUAAUCAAUCAUUAAUCUUACAAUCAAUUUCAAAUUUGCAAUUGAUUGCUGGUCAACAAAUAUAAAUUAUUUGCUUUAGUUAAGAUUGUUGUAUCACUUGUAAAUUUUUCAACCAAAAUUUGUGAUUGAUUGUAAAUGUUUUCUUGCAACACCCCCUAAGAAGAACAAACUGCUGUUUGGGGAAUUGUUCCUGGAGUAUGCAGAUUGAAAUGCUAUCUUGUACAUGUUUACUGAAGUCAUAUCAAAACUCCAAGCAAACUAUACUGUUUUGACAUAUUUUGCAAAUGUGGGCUACUACCUUUAAAGUCUUAUUCAAACAAGGCACGACAAAGCUCAGCAACUUUUGUGUACAAAGUCAAUGGGAUAUGAGGCGUCAAAUAUGUUUCAGAGACAAGUGACCUUUUUUGAAAAGUAGACCAAUUAAAUUUCUUUAAAUAGCGCAAAAUAAUUUUUCCAGAUGAUCUUUAUACAGGUUAUAGUUAUACUAUGUUACGUGUGAUGAUGCAAAAUCCUUUUUGUGCCACUUUCACCAUUUAACAUAGGAAUUGGUAAGAAGGUCAUACUGGCUGUUACUUGAAUAAAUUCAUGAAAAUGGUCUAAACAAUGACAACAGGCUACAUCUGGAGGAAUAACAUAAUUCUUAAAAAAUGGAAUUUCUCGGAUUGUCAUCAGACCUACCAACUUCUCCUUUUUAAAAGGAGUUACUCCUUUUUAGAAAUUUUAAUAUACAUUAUACCAUAUGGUUAAAGAAAUCUUAUUGUCCAGGUAUCUUACACUAAUCUAUGUGAAAUAUGCUGUGACUCCUAUUUUUUAAAUGAAUCAGUCCUAUAUUUAAGUUUACAGGUUGGUAGGCAUGU